rnacentral:rRNA from 1 species
UACGGAGGAUGCGAGCGUUAUCCGGAUUCACUGGGUUUAAAGGGUGAGUAGGCGGGUUAGUAAGUCAGUGGUGAAAUACUGUCGCUUAACGACAGGGGUGCCAUUGAUACUGCUGAUCUUGAGUUCAGUUGAGGCAGGCGGAAUGUGCAGUGUAGCGGUGAAAUGCUUAGAUAUUGCACAGAACACCGAUUGCGGAGGCAGCUUGCUAAGCUGAAACUGACGCUGAGUCACGAAAGCGUGGGGAUCAAACAGG